rnacentral:rRNA from 1 species
GUUCUACCUUGACGAAUUGUAGUUUAAAGAAGUGUUUUCUGUUAGAGGAGUAGCAAAAGUUCCUUGGAAUGGGACAUCAUAGAGGGUGAGAAUCCCGUAUUUGGUUAUUCUUUCUAGCUUUGUGAUACACUUCCAAAGAGUCGGAUUGUUUGGGAAUGCAGUCCAAAAUGGGUGGUAAAUUUCAUCUAAAGCUAAAUAUUGGCGAGAGACCGAUAGCGAACAAGUACCGUGAGGGAAAGAUGAAAAGAACUUUGAAAAGAGAGUUAAACAGUACGUGAAAUUGUCAAAAGGGAAGCGUUUGACACCAGUGUUGUUUUUCCGAAAAUCAAUUAAGAAGGGCUUGAUUUUGUGUUGUAUUGACCUUAUCAGCUUUCUUCACUCUUUUUCGAGUCUUUCUU